rnacentral:rRNA from 1 species
CAUUUWUUUGAUUUAAGCCAAUGGCCUUUGGUCAGUUUGGGCGAGUCAGAAUAAGUAAGCGAAUCGCAGUGUCCUUGAGACGGCGAUGAAUCAUUCAAGUUUCUGCCCCAUCAGUUGUCGAUGGKAGUGUAUUGGACUACCAUGACAGUCACGGGUGACGGAGAAUUAGGGUUCGAUUCCGGAGGGGGAGCCUGAGAGACGGCUACCACAUCCAAGGAAGGSAGCAGGSGCGUAAAUUACUCAAUGMUAGAUGGACGAAGUAGUGACGAGAAAUAGCAAUGCGGAGCGCUCAGCGUUUUGCAAUUGUAAUGAGAGCAAAGUAAAACCCUCAUCGAGGAUCCAUUGGAGGGCAAGUCUGGUGCCAGCAGCCGCGGUAAUUCCAGCUCCAAUAGCGUAUACUAAAGUUGUUGCAGUUAAAAAGCUCGUAGUUGAACUGUGGAUGUUUUUUUGUUGGGCUCGGCUUUUGCUAGKAGCUCAGCUAAUGCAUCUGUUCUUUCUUCCUCUAUUUUGGGGGGGGAAUCGUUUACUGUAAAAAAAUUAGAGUGUUCCACGCACGGUUUGGGCCGGGAAUAUGCU